GGCUAACGCUGGCGGCGUGUCUUAGCCAUGCAAGUCGAGCGGACUUAUGGGGUAACUUAUAAGUCAGCGGCGGACGGCGGAGUAACACGUAGCUAACCUACCCUCUGGACGGGGAUAACCUACCGAAAGGUGGGCUAAUACCCGAUGUAGUCAUCCUGUAUAGGGGUGAUGAAAGGUGGGCUUCUGUUUACAAGCUCAUGCUGGAGGAGGGGGCUGCGGCCUAUCAGGUAGUUGGUAGGGUAAUAGCCUACCAAGCCGAUGACGGGUAGCCGGCCUGAGAGGGUGACCGGCCCGAGGGGCACUGAGAUACGGGUCCCACUCCUACGGGAGGCAGCAGUAGGGAAUAUUGCGCAAUGGACGGAAGUCUGACGCAGCGACGCCGCGUGAGCGAUGAAGGUCUUCGGAUCGUAAAGCUCUGUCCUUGGGGAAGAAGGGUCUUCGGGACUUUGACGGUACCCAAGAAGAAAGCCCCGGCUAACUACGUGCCCAGCAGCCCGCGGUAAAAUAGCGUACU
rnacentral:rRNA from 1 species